CCCCAUCCCCCCUCCCUUUAUCUUUCUUACUCUCUCACACGCUGAGACGCUUGAGAGCAGCAUACAACUUUGGACAUAAAUCAGGCUCCCGUAAAUAAUGGCUGCACUUCCCUUUACAUCUCCGUUGGACUAACAGACAAUAAAAACACCAAUAAGCAGAGAUUGGAUCUAAUUUAUUGCCUCAUAAAAAGUGGCGGAGGGCUCCGCUUCAGAGCAACACUGAAAACAGUACAGCUACGGAACGCGCUCACAGUUAUGCGCAACCCAUAUUGUAGUCACACAGUAUAAUCGCAAUAAUAAGUUGACGAUUUUGAGCCAGGGAAUUUGUCAAGAAAGUACGUCAGACGAGAGCAGAUUACAUUGUUUUAUCAUGCAAAAACAACACCAGUGUAAUAAUAAUAAUAAUACUACAAAUCACAAUAACAAUAUAAACAAAUAAAUACAUAAACGCACAAAUGAAAAUCCCAACUAUGAAUAUUAGGAGGAGCAGUUAUAUCCCAAUUCAAAUAAUAUCGUAUGGUAAUAAUCGUUGUUUAAAACCGAGUAACCCUAAAACAAAACAAUUGACUGCCAAAUAAAUUAAAAUAGAAGUCACAAAUCCCAAUCUUCAGUCGACCAAUCCACGUGUCGCGUGUGAUAAAAAAACUGCCUUUGUUUGCCAACAAAACUUCCAAUAAUAUUGUUGGUAUUUUACAAAAAAGAAUGAUUUGUGCAUAUAAUUUCAAAUAGGAUCUUAAAAAAUAAAUAUAGACCAGCCACGCAACCGACUGCGGUGCAUUGUAUUGCUGGAGCUCAGUCAGCAGCUCGUGUGUGCUGUGUGAACGCGCCUUUUCUGCUGCGUUCAAUGGCCCUGACUCCCACGCGCUUUUCUGCCGUUUCCCCCCUGUCUGUCGUCCCUUUCAGAAUCAGACGGGUUGAAGGCAAAUGGCAUGGGAAAAGAGGGAAGAGCUAAAUAACCAAUCCUCCAAUAGUAUCUAAGUGGUUUUAUGAUUUUUAUUUAUUUAUUUUGUAUAGGCGUUUAUAUAUGCGCGUGUAAAACCUGUGCGAAAACGUCAAAUAAAUAUACUAAAACACGGCAACUAGAUGGGAAGGGAAGGUGGGGUGGGGUGGGGUGGGGGUAUUUAGGGAAAGAAGAGGGGCCGCUGUCAGGCCCUUUGCAACAGUGAAAGAUUGAUCACCGCACAUUUUCUCCACACUCGGGGCUCCUCGAUCCCUUCCCAAAAAUAUCCUCCCAAGCUCCUGCUCUUUAUUUGAGAGAAAAAUAAAUAAUACAAGUCUACAUGCGCGCCCUGUUGAGCCUGAAGGGCACCCAGUGCGCUCUCACUUCCCAUUACCGUUCAUAAUAUUGCUACUGUUUUAUUAGUAUAUCUUGUUUUACUACAGCAGGGUCUCCCCUCCUUUUUGUAGCUGCACGGAGCGACCUCGCUGUGAACUCUCUCUCUCGUUGUGUGUCGUUCCCUCUCUCUGCGUAAACACAACGGACAUUUUUAACAGACAUCACACUAGAGAGAGAGAGAGAGAGAGAGAGCCGGGAAGAGAAAAAUAGAGAGAGGAUAGGGGGCUAUUUUAGUUAGAUAAUAUUUUUGGGAUCCGUCUCUGUUCAAAUAGAAUAAGAAACAGUGAUUCGAACAAAAAGAAAGAACACUUACACAACACCUGGUUUCUCUUCCCCAUUUCUCUAAAUGUGUUUAUCUCUGCUCUGCUGCAAGCCGGUCUGCCUCCGCUUCUCUGAGAAAGCUUCAUCAUCCUCUCCUGAACUGCUGCGCCUUCUAGACAUUUGUUUUUAUUUCUCUCUAGGUCUAAGAUUGGGAUUUUCAGCCUCUGUCAACGUUCAUAAGAUUAAUGAGCUGAGUCCUCUACAGUGAUUUUUUUUUUCUCAGACAGAGCAUAUUGUAAACGGUACAGCCAGCUACAACCACCCUAACCGUCAUCACCCAGAGGACCAAAAAAAGAAUGUCGAGAGAUGCUCUAUUGUUUGUGCGUGAUUAACACCGGAUCCGCAGAAUGUGCCGAACCGGCCGCCCACACGGUCCACAUGGCGACCGGCCGCUUCGCCGUCUCUCCUCCUCCCCGCGCGUUACCCCCCGUUAGGGUGAGACAAUAGCAGCCGUCCUGGGAUCCAGCCCUGCGUUGCCAAAGCAUUUGGUGGAAAAAUGAUAAUGCUGUUUCCCACUGCCAUCGCCGCCACGGCCCGCCCCCCCCCCCUCCAAACCCCGAUUGGCAGUUUUGCGUCACGUGACCAGGAAUUGGCUGCAAUUUCGCCCCAUAGUUCUUCAGUUUAGCCUACCCAUGGUCCCCAUACGCUAGUAAUAUCACCAAUUUACACAAUUAUUAUAUAGCCGCUGUUUUGCACCAUUGCGGUCGGGAGCCUAUAUGCUCGUGCGCUUCUUCAUUUUAUUUUCAACCAGGAAGCCAUAUUGUUUUGUGUGCGUGUACGAGCGUGCGCGCCUAUGUGUGUUUGUGUUUUUUGUUGUUUUUUUAUUUUGGGGGACGGAUUGUUUCGGGGGGUCUCGCCGUUCUGAGGUCGAAACUGGUUCGAGGGAGCUAUGAAUUUUGAAUUUGAGAGAGAGAUCGGUUUUAUCAACAGCCAGCCGUCCCUAGCAGAGUGCCUGACGUCCUUCCCCGCCGUCCUGGAGUCAUUUCAAACUUCAUCAAUCAAGGAGUCGACAGUAAUUCCGCCUCCCUUCGAGCACACCAUCCCCAGCCUCAGCCCCUGCACAGCCAACCAGCCGAGACCGUCUGCUAGGAGCCAGCAGAACCGGAGAACAUCCAUUGCCAAUGGCCUCCAGACGAUUCACCGGGGCGCCCAGCAGCACUGCCCCACCGGUCAGACCCCUGCGCCGGCCUCGACCGCACCGGCCGGCCCACUGGCCCACGAGUUCCCCUGGAUGAAAGAGAAGAAGUCCUCAAAGAAGUGCCCGAAAUCUGGGAGCGGCUCCAGUGGUGGCGGAUCCAUCAUCCCCUCUGCCUCGUCCUCCCCGUCGCCGACCGCUUCUGGGUACGCCUUGGCGGGCAUCGAGUCACCCACAGACCCAAGCCAGGCGAGUUUGGAUAGUGGAGGUGCCGGGUCCCGCCGUUUGCGCACAGCCUACACUAACACGCAGUUGCUGGAGCUGGAGAAGGAGUUCCACUUCAAUAAGUACCUGUGCCGGCCAAGGAGGGUGGAGAUUGCCGCCCUCUUGGAUCUGACCGAGCGGCAAGUCAAAGUGUGGUUCCAGAACCGGCGGAUGAAACACAAGCGCCAGACGACACACCAGCGGGACGGUGGAGGCCACGAUUCCAGCGAGUUCGAGCCGCUUGAAGGCGCCGACGCCUCGUCCCCUUACUCGAGCCAGCCGCUGGAAGCAUCUGGCACAGGGGAGGCCGAGUCUGACGGCGAGGCGGGGAGCUGUAAUCCAUCUUCGGCCGCCUACGCGAAUGACAGUGGGGACAAUGCACAACCCACGUCGGAGAACGGAGGCCGACUGAGCAGCCCCGAACGCCCACAGUUGCUUGAGGCAUUUGGCUCCUCAGACGUGGCCGCGGCUCGCCACUCUCCGCCGGCGUUCACAGCCACGAGCUCCUCCGACAUCCCGGGCCUGAUGCAGCUUGGCGAGGCCGCGCUGGCGGCAGCAGAAGCAGCGUGCGACCCAUCCUUCUCCGAGCACCGGGACCCCUCCGUCUCCUCCACCGUGUCCUCAGCUCCUGCGGCCACUUCCUCCUCAACCGCGCUCCCCGACCUGACCUUCUUUGCUGGGGAAACGUGCCUGUCGCCCAGCCUACAGAGCUCCCUGGACAGCCCGGUGGAUUUCUCAGAGGAGGACUUCGACCUGUUCACGAGCACACUGUGCACCAUAGACCUGCAGCACCUCAACUUCUGAGAAAUAUAAAUUUACAAAAACACAAGGAGCACACGGACAUUGGGCGGAGGAAGACCGCCCCGCAAGCUUCGCGAAAACAUUCCUGUAACAUUUCUGAAUGAAAAUGAUCUUCCUGUAUUUUUUUCGUCUUCUGCUGGCUUUUAUUCUACGGUUAGAACUUACCUCAUUUGAAAGAGAUGCACUUCGUUUAUUUAUUUUUGAAUAAACGUCCAAGGGAUUGUAUUUUUUGUUUUUCCGCGGUCGAAACGAUCAUUUUUGUCUCUCCCCGUUUUCAGAGUCAAAAUGGCGAUGAAGACAAAGCAGGAUGUGAACAAUGAGCAGUGGCAGCCAUUACAGGAUGACUGGCUCAGUGUGACAGGCACGGUGUGUGUGUGUGUGUGUGUGUGUGUGUGUGUGUGUGUGUGUGUGUGUGUGUGUGUGUGUGUGUGUGUGUGUGUGUGUCCUUGUGUGUUUGUAACAGGGAGAGUCAAACAAAAGGAAUAUGCCUAUUCAGGUUUAUGGCUGAUUAUUGAAUAACAGUAAUCCCAAUACAUGUAGUAGAAUAAUAACAAUAAUAAAACACAACAAGUAAUAAUAAUAUAGCAGUAAUGCAAAUUACUAAAUGAAUUAUAACAAUAAUCUUUUUGACAUAUAACAAAAUCAACUGAUGAUAAUAUCUAAUACCUCAGAAACCUGUAUUUGUAAUUUGCUUAUACACUGAAUCAGGAUCAUUGACUCAGUUAUUAUCGGCAAUACAUCUAGUUAAUAAAAUUGGAUGUAGUUAACAACAUUGGUUGGUGCGCGCUGUUUCAUUGUCAGUAUGACAUAAUUAAUGUUAUACUUUCUUGAUUAUUAACAAAUACGACAGUAAUCUGUAAUUUAAUAAACCACUCUGCAUGUCCAGAAAUAUUGUAA